rnacentral:lncRNA from 1 species
UUUUUUUAGUAGAGAAGGGGUUUUGCAUAUUGGCCAGCUGGUCUUCAAUUCCUGGCCUCAGGUGGUCCGCCCGCCUCGGCCUCCAAAAGUGCUGGGAUUACAGGCGUGAGCCACUGUGCCUGGCCAAGAUAAUUUUUUAAUAUUGAAGGUUAUGACUUUCCCCACAUCAGUUCAUAUCAUUUUGAAAUGUGAGAACACAAAGGACAAGAAGAACUUGCUAUAUAGCAUCUAGAGAGAAAAACAGAUUUCCAUACAAAGGAUCAAAAAUUUGAAGCACACUGAUUUUCUAAGUAACACCGCUGAAAACUAGAAGACAAUGAAGCAAUGACUUCACAAGUCUUACUGAAAAAUGAUUUCCAAUUUAGAAUUUUAUGCCUAAACCAUUCAUGAAGAUAUUCAAUUUUCAAACUGUUUAAGUGUGAGCAUAUUUUCAUUUAAUGUAUUUUCUAUCAGUCCUCUCUCAGAAGCUACUGAUGGAUGAAGAAACCCAGCAGAAACCACCUUAACCAUGUGAUUGAGGCCAACAUUGUCAGUAAUAAGAUAUAUGGACAUCAUUAACCUCAUGUAAUAACAUACCAAGGACACAUUAUUUCUGUGGUAUUCUUGCCCAAAAUACAUAACUCAAUCCCAUCCUGAAAAAAAUGACAGAGAUAUUCAAUAAAAUAAUUAAAUAAUACUCAUGAAAUGUCAAGCUCGUGAAAGACAAAGAAAGACUAAGGAAUUGUUGCAGGACACUAAAUUGUUACAGAAGAGAAAUAACAAUUAAAAGCAAUAUGGGAUCCCAAAUAGGAUCCUGCAACAAAACAAGGACAUCAGUAGAAAACUGACAAAAUUUCUAAUAAGAUGUUUACUUAAUAGUAUUAAACCAAUACUAAUUUAUUUGUUUUGAUAAUUAUAUAAUGGUUAUGUAAGACAUUAACAUAAUAGGAAGGUGGGUGAGAGACAUAUGAAAACUAUUAUUUAUGCAAUAUUUCCUUAAGUCUACAGGUAGUUCAAAUAAAAAAAUUUUUUAAAGAAGAAAAUUCAGAGAGGGUCAAAGGAAAAUGGUGGGAAAGCAUACAAGAAACAGCAGCAAUGUGGUUACUGCAAAUAGAUAAAUUACUAUAAGUUUCAGAAAUAAGAAAAGAGGAACACAAAUAGCUGUAAACAGAAACAGCCUGUGUGUAACAUCCUGGAACAAUCUAUCUCCAAGUAUUCUUCUAAGAUGCAAUGGCUGUCAAAGAGACCCAAAGAAUAAAAAGAUAACCCAAAAUAUAAUUUUUUAAGUUUACUUUUCCUUAUUUUAUUCUAGUACUUUUACCCUUUUCAAAAUCUUACACUACCCCGUUUCUGAUAAAUAUUAAAUCAUCACAGUUCCUACUCACCACCAGGAUAUUCCUCCAACCCCAUUUGAGGGGAUAUGUCCCUCUACUUGAAAAGUCAGUUUAUUUUUUUUUUUUCAAAUUGACAUAUAAUCCACAUGCCACAGAAUUCACCUCUUGAAAGUAUAAAAUUCAAUGGUUUUUAGUCUAUUCAGAGUUGUGCAACCAUCACCACUAUCCAAUUUAGAAUAUCUUCAUUACUACCAAAAGAAAAAAAGCCGUGUGCCCAUUACCAGUCAUUCCUUAUCCUGCUCAAGACCUCCAACAACCACUAAUAUACUUUUUUUUUUUUUUUUUUUUUAGAUGGAGACUCGUUCUGUUGCCCAGGCUGGAGUGCAGUGGCGUGAUCUCAGCUCACUGCAACCUCCAUCUCAAAGGUUCAGGCGAUUCUCCUGCCUCAGCCUCCCAAGCGGCUAGGACUACAAGCACACGCCACAACGCCAGGCUAAUUUUUGUAUUUUUAGUAAAAAAGGGUUUUACCAUGUUGGCCAGGCUGGUCUCGAACUAUUUAUCUCAAGUGAUCUACCCUCCUCGGCAUCCCAAAGUGCUGGGAUUAUAGGCGUGAGCCACUGCACCCAGCCCACUAAGGUAUUGCUAUGGACUUGCUUACUCUGCACAUUACAUACAAAUGGAGUUAUACAGGCCGAGCGCGGUGGCUCAUGCCUCUAAUCCCAGCACUUUGGGAGGUCGAGGCAGGCAGAUCACCUGAGGUAAGGAGUUCAAGACCAGCCUGGCCAACAUGGUGAAACCCUGUCUCUACUAAAAAUACAAACACUAGCUGGGCAUGGUGGUGUGCGCCUGCAGUCCCGGCUACUCGGGAGGCGAGGCAGGAUAAUCGCUUGAACCCAGGACGUGGAGGUUACAGUGAGCCGAGAUCGAGCCACUGCACUCCAGCUUGGGCGACAGAGCAAGACUCUGUCAAACAAACAAAUAGAUAAAUAAAUAAAUGGACUUACACAAUAAGCCCUUUGUGUCUGGCUUCUUCACUUAGCAUAUUUUAUUUUUUUUUUUUUCAGACAGAGUCUCACUCUGUUGCCCAGGCUAGCAUGCAGUGGUAUGAUGUCAGCUCACCGCAACCUCUGCCUCCCGGUUUCAAGCAAUUCUUGUGCCUCAGCCUCCCAAGUAUCUGGGACUACAGGCAUGCGCCACCAGACUCAACUAAUUUUUGUAUUUUUAGUAGAGACAGGGUUUCACCAUUUGGCCAGGCUGGUCUCAAACUCCUGGACUCAAGUGAUGUGCCCACCUUAGCCUCCCAAAGUGUGCAGAUUACAGGUGUGGGCCACUGCAUCCAGCCACUUAGGAUAAUAUUUAGAAGGUUCGGUUAGGUUGUAGUAUGUAUCACUACUUCACUCCUUUUUAUGGCUAAAUAAUAUUACAUUGUAUGAAUAUACGAAAUUUUGUUCAUUUGUUUAUCAGUUGACAGACACAUGUUGUUUUCACCUUUUGACUAUUAUAAAUAAUGCUGUUAUUAACAUUCAUGUACAAGUUUUUGUGUGGACAUAUGUUUUCAAUGCUCUUGGGUACAGACCUAGUAGUGGAACUGCUGGAUCAUACAGUAACUCUAUGUUUAACUAUUUAAGGAACUGCCUGUUUUCCAAAGCACCUGCACCAUUUUACAUUCUCAUGCAAUGCAUGAAGGUUCUAAUUUCUCCACCUCCUCCAAUGUUUGCUAUUAGCCAGCCUUUUUGAUUACUGUCACUUAGUGGGUGUGAAGUGGUAUCUCAGUGUGGUUUUGAUUUGUAUUUCCCUAAUAAUUAAUGAUGUUGAACAUUUUUUCAUGUGUUUACUGGCUAUUUUUUCUCUUCUCUAGAGAUAUGUCUACUCAGAUUCUUUGUUCAUUUUUAAAACUGGGGUAUCUGUCUUUUUUAUUGUUGAGCUGUAAGAAUUCUUUAUAUAUUCUAGAAACUAGAACCUCAUCAGAUCUAUGACUUACAAGUAUCUCUCCCAUUCUGUGUGCUGUCUUCAUUUUCUUGAAAGUAUCCUUUGAAGCACAAAUGUUUUUAAUUUUGAUGAUGUCCAAUUUAUUUUUCCUUUGGUUGUUUGUGCUUUUGAUGUCAUAGCUAAGAAACCAUUGCCUAAUCCAAGGUGAUAAAGAUUUACAUCUAUGUUGUUUUUUUUUUUAUUUUUUUGUGAGACGGACUCUUGCCCUGUCGCCCAGGCUGGAGUGCAAUGGUGCGGUCUCCACUCACUGCAACCUCUGCCUCCCAGGUUCAAGCAAUUCUUCUGCCCCAGCCUCCCAAGUAGCUGGGAUUACAGGCGUGCACCUCCACACCUGGCUAAUUUUUGUAUUUUUAGUAGAGACGGGGUUUCACCAUGUUGGUCAGGCUGGUCUCGAACUCCUGACCUCGUGAUCCACCCGCCUCAGCCUCUCAAAGUGCUGGGAUUACAGGCGUGAGCCACCGCGCCGGGCCCAUCUUUUUUUUUUUGAGACAGAGUUUCAUUCUUGUCUCCCAGGCUGGAGUGCAAUGGUGUGAUCUCAGCUCACUGCAACCUCCGCUUCCUGGGUUCAAGCAAUUCUCCUGCCUCAGCUGGGAUUACAGGCACACGCCACUACACCCGGCUAAUUUUUUGUUAUUUAGUAGAUACGGGGUUUCACCAUGUUAGGCUGGUCUUGAACUCGACUUCAGGUGAUCCACCUGCCUCGGCAUUCCAAAGUGCUGGGAUUACAGGCGUGCGCCUGGCCCUAUGUUUUCUUUUAUGAGUUUUACAGUUAUAGCUCUUAUAUUUAGGUCUUUAAUCCACUUUAAUUUUUUUGUAUAUGAUGUAAGGGGCCAACUUCAUUCUUUUGCAUGUGGGUAUACAGUUGUCCAAGUACCAUGAGACACUAUUCUCUCAUGAAAUAGUUUUGGCACUCUUGUAGAAAAUCAGUAAGCCACAGAUGUAUGAGUUUAUUUCUAGACUCUUAAUUCUAUUCCAUUGAUCUAUAUAUUUAUCCUUCUGACACAGCCACUCUAUUUUUAUUACUGUAACUCUAAAGUAGUAUGUUUUGAAGUUGGAAAGUGUGAGCCUUCUAACUUUCCUCUUCUUUUUCAAGACUGUUUUGGCUACUCUGGAUCCUUGAAUUUCCAUAUGAUUUUAGGAUCAGCUUAUCAAUUUCUGCCAAACAAAGCCAGCAAGAAUUUUGAUAGUGAUUGCACUCAAUCUGUGAACCAAUUUGCAAAGUAUUGACAUCUUCACAAUAUUAAGUCUUGCAAUCCAUAAACAUGAGGUGUGUUUCCAUUUAUUUCGGUCUUCUUUAAUUUCUUUCAAUAAUGUUUUGUUCCUUCAGUGUACAAGUCUUACACUUCUUUUGUUAAAUGUAUUCCUAAGUAUCCUAUUCUUUUUGAUGCUUUUGUACAUAAACUUGUUUCCUUAAUUUCAUUCUUUGAUUGUACAUUGUUGGUGUAUAGAAACAAUUUUUGUACAUUUAUCUUUUACCCUGAAGCUCUGCUGAACUCGUUUAUUAGCCCUAAUAGUUGUGUAUGAGUGUGUGUGUGUUCCUUAGAAUUUUCUACACACAAAAUCAUGUCAUCCGCAAACAGAAAUAGUUUUACAACUUCCUUUUCAAUCUACAUGAGUUUUAUUUCAUUAUCUUAUAUAAUUGCCCCAGCUAGAAUAGAAAUGGCAGGAGUGGAAGUCUUUAUUUUAUUCCUGAUCUUAGGGGGAAGGUUUUCAGUCUUUCUCCAUUGAAUAUGAUAUUAACUAUAACUUUUUCAUAGAUGCCCUUUUCAGGUUAAGAAAGUUCCCUUCUAUUCCUAGUUUGUUGAAUAUUUUUAUCAUGAAAGAAUGUUGAAUUUUGUCAGAUGCUUUUUCAGCAUCCAGAUAAUCACAUUGUUUUUGUUCAUUUUUUCUAUUAAUAUGGUGUAUUAUAUUGAUUGAUUUUCAUACUUUGAAAAUGGGAUACAUCCCAUUUGGUCAUGGGGUACAAUCUUUUAGGUAAGUUGCUGGAUUUGGUUUGUUAGUAGUUUGUUGAGAAUUUUUACAUCUAUCUUCAUAAUGGAUACUGAAGAAUGCAUCAGAGUACUUUAAUAGCUGGUCUAUAGUUUUUCUUUUCUUGCAAUGUUUUGGUCCACAAUUAGGGUAAUACUGGCCUCACAAAAUAUAGUUGGGAAGUAUUAGCUUCUCUUCUACAUUCUGGAAGAGUUUGUGAAGAACUAGUCUUAAUCCUUCUUUAAAUAUUUUGUGGAAUUCACAAGUGAAGCCAUUUGCUCCUGGGCUUUUCUUCAUGAGAUUUUUCUUUAAGGCCAACAACUCUUUGACUUGCCCUUUGAGACUAUUUUCUAGAUCCUGUAGGUGUGCUUCAACCUUUUUUAUUCUUUUUCUUUUGUCUCCUCUGUGUAUUUUCUUUUUUUUUCUUUUUUUCUUUUUCUUUUUUUUUUUUUUUUUUAAAUGGAGUCUCACUCUGUCACCAGGCUGGAGUGCAGUGGCACAAUCUGGGCUCACUGAAACCUCCACCUCCCAGGUUCAAGCGAUUCUCCUGCCUUAGCCUCCCGAGUAGCUGGGACUACAGGCAUGUGCCACCACAUCCAGCUAAUUUUUUUUGUAUUUUUAGUAGAGAAGGGGUUUCACCAUGUUGGCUAGGAAUGUCUCUAUCUCUUGACCUUGUGAUCCACCCACCUUGGCCUCCAAAAGUGCUGGGAUUACAGGCGUGAGCCACCAUGCCCAGCUCACUAAGUCUUUCUUCUGCCAUCAAUUCUGGUAUUAAAGGAUUCUGAGGCAUUCUUCAAAAUGUCAAUUGCAUUUAUCAGCUCCAGAAUUUCUACUUGAUUCUUUCAAAUUAUUUUAAUCUCUGUUAAAUUUAUGUGAUAGGAUUCUGAAUUCCUUCUCUGUGCUAUCUUGAAUUUCUUUGACUUUCCUCAACAAAGCUAUUUUGAAUUCUCUGUGUGAAAGGUCACAAAUCUGUUUCCCCAGGAUUGGUCCUUGGUGCCUUCUUUGGUUCAUUUGGUUAGGUCAUGGAUGGUGUGGAUGCCAGUAGAUAUUGAAGAGUUAGGUAUUUAUUGUAGUCUUCACUGUCUGGGCUUAUCUGUACCCAUCCUUCUUGGGCUUUCCAGAUAUUUUAAAGGACUUGGGUAUUAUGAUCUAAACUGUAUCUACGUUGUGGUUCUUGCAGCCUCAUAGAGGUACCACCUUGAUGGUCUUGGACAAGAUCUGGGAGAAUUCUCUGGAUUAUCAGGCAGAGACUCUUGUUCUCUUCCCUUACUUUCUCCCAAACAGACUGUGUGUGUGUGUGUGUGUGUGUGUGUGUGUGUGUGUGUGUGUGUGUGUGUGUGUCUCUCUCUCUCUCUCUCUCUCUCUCUCUCUCUGUCUCUCCUCAGCCACCUAAAGCUGGGGGUGGAGUGACACAAGCACCCCUGUGGCCAACACCACUAUGACUGCACUGGGUCAGACCUAAAGCUAGCACAGCACCAGCACAGCACUGGGUCUCACCCAAGCUUGCCGUAACCACUCCCUGGCUAUUGCCUAUGUUCGCUCAAGACUCUGUGGUUCCACAAUCAGCCAGUGGCAAAGCCAGCCAGGCCGUGUCCUUCCCUUCAGGGGGAGUGAGGUCCCCCAAGCCUCAGGUGGGUCUAGAGGUGCCAUCUGGGAGUCAGGGACUAGAGUCAAAAACCUUAGAGGUCUACCCAAUGUUCUAUUGUACUAUGGCUGAGCUGGCACUCAAACCACAAGACACAGUCUUUUUCACUUGUGCCUCCCCUUUCCAAAGCUAGAGGAGCCUCGCCCCAUAGCUACCACCACCCCAGGCCACAAGGAGUAUUGCCAGACAAGCACCACUGUUCCCUUAAGCUUAAGGCCCAGGGAUUCUUAAGUUAGCUUAUGGUGAAUACUGCCUGGCCUAGGUCUCACCCUUCAGGGCAGUGGGUUCUCCUGUAGCCCAGGACAGGUCUAGAAAUGCCAUCUAACAAUCAAGUCCUGGAAUCAGGGAUCCCAAGAGUGUAUUUGGUACUCUGUCCCUCCAUGGCUGUGCUGGUACCUGAAGCCAGAAAGUCUCAGAGGCUCACCCAAAGCCCUUGACAUAGCAGCUGGGUAUCAAUGCUGGUUAUUCACAGCCCAUGGGCUCUUCGGUUAGCAGGUGAUGAAUGCUGCCAGUACUGAGUCCUUUUCUUCAAGGCAGUGGGUUCCCUUCUGGCCUGGGGCAUGUCUAGAAAUGUCAUCUGAGAGCUGGCAUCUGGAACAGGGAGACUUGCGACUCUGACUGGUCCCCUAUCCUGCUGUGACCAAGAUGUUAUCUAAGACACAAGACAAAGUCCUGCCCACUCUUCCCUCUCAAGUGGAAGAAAGGGGUCUCUCUUGGAGCCACGAGCUGUGUAGCCUGGCAUUGGGGUCGGGGAGGCGGGGGGUGAGCCAACACUCCCUUGGUUACCCCAGCUGGUGUCUCAGUAUGUCACCUGCCCCUCUGUCCACUGUCUCUGGGACCAGUUCAGCACUAGGACUCGCCUAAGAGUUGCAGUCCUUUUGGCCUAGACUGCCUUUCAAGUUUACUUGGAGACACAGAGCACUAUAGCCCUCAGUGGCAAGCCUUGCAGGAAUUCAAAUUUGGAUCACUGGGAUCAGCAGUUCCCCUCUGGCUAGGGUUGGUUUAAAUGCUCCCUCUGUGCACAGGUGUCAGCUGAGUUUGGUCCAGUUCUCCUUUCUGCUCUAACAGGAUAGCAUUGAGUUCAAUGCCUCACAAUUGUUGUGUUCUCCCUCCCCAAGCACCCAGAGACACUCUCUGCACCAUACUGCCACUGCUGCAGGGGGAGGAGUGGCACUGCCUAUUCAGGACUGUUUUUUCUAUCUCUUCAGUGCCUCUUUCAGUGAUAUGAAGUUAAAACUAGGUACUGUAAGUGCUCACCUGAUUUUUGGUUCUUAUGAAGGUGGUUUUUUCUGUGUAGAGUUGUUAAAGUGGUGUCCUUGGCAGGGGGAAUGAUCAGUGGAGCCUUCUAUUCCACCAUCUUGCUCUGCCUCUCAAUUUCCCUUUUGAUUUCUGUAGGGUCAGUAGUAAUAUCUUGUCUUUCAUUCCUGAUUUGAGUAAUUUAAGUCCUCUCUCAUUUUUCUUGGUCAGUCCAGCCAGAGGUUUGUUGAUUUUGUCUUUUCAAAGAACAAACAUUUAGUUUCCUGGAUCUCCUCAAUUGUUUUUCUGUUCUUUAUUUUUUUAAUUUCACUCUAAUCUACAUUAGUUCCUUUUUUCUACUUGCUUUGGGUUGAGUUGACUCUUCUUUUUCUAAUUUCUUAAGGUAGAAGGUUAAAUUACUGAUUCGAUAUAUAUUUUUUUUAAUAUAGAUGUUUAUAAGCUAUAAAUUUUCCUCCAAGCACAGCUUUAGCUGCAUUUCAUGAGUUUUGGUAUGUUAAGUUUUUGUUUUCAUUAAUCUUAAGUAUUAAAUUUAUCUUGUAAUUUCUUUCUUUGAUCCACUGAUAAUUUAGGAGUGCACUGGUUUAAAAAUUACUGUACUUUCUAUUAUUACCUACCAAAAGAGUUUAUUUUCUGUAUUUUGUAUUACAAAUAUAUAGAUAUUUUUAAGUUUCCCCCAAAUUUAACAUUGUAUUAUAAUACUAAAUAUGUUUUUUUAAACUAUACUCUCCUUAUUUAUAACCAGUAUUCUAUUCUAGGCCACUUCUUCCUCCUUAAGCUGACCUUUCUCUCCUUAGCUCUGGUUACAGUUCUAGUAGAUGAUCCAGUCCACUUAUUCAGUUACUACUACUGACCAAGCCAUGCCCUAGGUCCUUGCCCUCAGGAACUCAUCUUCUGGUGAAAAAAGAGUGACAUGUUUGUAAAUAAGCAACUAGAAUACAAUGUGAUGUAAUGAGAACAUAUACAAGAAAAACCAAAUCUGGUGGGAGAGCAGGAAUAAAAAGUUUAUCAGAGAUGGCAUCUGACCUUUGUCUCAAGGAUGAGUUAACCAAAAAUACUCUCACCAAGAAAACAGGAGUAAGGGAAACAACAUCCAAUUGAAAUUGUCCAAUGUACAGUUGAAUAUAUUGUAUAGCUAAAAUCUCAGAGAAAGACGUGGUUUGAGAUACAGAUUCACAAGUCCUAUUCUCUUACCUCUUGGAUUUCAUCUGGGACAGUUGAGUCCAUCAGUCUGAAGAGCAAAUUUCGAAGUGGACCUGCCUGCCUCCCGAGAAUGCUGGUAGCUACCCCUCCCGCAAGUGCAAGAGCAAGGUGAUUUGAAAGUAGCUUCAGGCACAGCUUGAGAAAACUGUGGUGUUCUCUGAAACCAAAUAAACGUCUAUGAAUUCUCGGAUCAUAAAAGUGCCUGUGCUAUCCAGUUUGGGUAACAUUUUUAUAUCUUUAAAAAUUUUGUUGGCUAGGUGCGGUGGCUCAUGCCUGUAAUCCCAGCACUUUGGGAGGCGGAGGUGGGUGGAUCACCUGAAGUCAGGAGUUAGAGACUAGCCUGGCCAACAUGGCAAAACCCCGCCUCUACUAAAAAUACAAAAAUUAGCUGGGCAUGAUGGCGGGUGCCUGUAAUCCCAGCUACUCAGAAGGCUGAGGCAAGAGAAUCACUUGAACCUGGGAGGCAGAGGCUGCAGUGAACUGAGAUCAUGCCACUGCACUCUAGCCUGGGCGACAGAGCAAGACACCAUCUUAAAAAAAAAAAAAUUUUGUCAAGUCAUGAACAACAGUAAUUUUUAAAACAUGAUUUGUGAAAUUACAAGUAACUUUUUCCUAGAAGUUAUUAUCAACAAGUAUCUAAGUUUAGCUCUUUUCUAGAUUAUAAAAAAGUUUCAUAUAAUUUGGGAAACCAAACAAGAAAGAACAGUAAGUCAAAACUCAAAAGGAAUAAUUUAUACACAUGCACACACGCGCGCGCACACACACACACAAAGAUACAAAACAUACAUAUAACAUACCUUGAUGAAGGGAAAGGGAGUGGGGGAAUCUCACUGUUUAUUUUAUCACAG